rnacentral:rRNA from 1 species
GUAUAUAAAUAUUACGAAAACAAAAAAUUAUGGCGGUACUUUAAGCUUUUCAGAGGAAUUUGCUCUUUUAUGAAUAAAACACCUAAAUCUUACUAAAAUUAGUAAAAUCAGUUUGUAUACCACUAUAAAAGURAUUAUUUAUUAUUAUUACUUAAUUUUCAAUUUAAAAAUUAAAUUAAGUCAUGGUGCAGCAAAAAUUUUAGGAUGAAGUGAAUUACAUUUUAAAUUUUAAAUUAGGAUUUGAAGGUAAAUAUUUAAUAUAAUGAAAUUUUGAAUUAAGCUCUAAAGUAUGUAC